GCUGGGAGUUCCUGCGCUAGAGACAGUUGUCGGGGGCUAAAUAUGGAACAAAGCAGUGAUAGAGGCUGGAUGGGGUUGGGUGUCCCGGGCUCUCAGCUUUCCUGCCCCAGCUUUUGCUACGUCUUUUUAAUGAUCCCCCGCGCUCCCUUUUUAAUUUAAAAUUAAGUGACGACUUCGUGGUGGGCGGGUUAAGCAAUGGGUGGAAAAUCCUGGAAGUGCAAGUAUCUAUUUAUCCAUGACUGUGACAGAUAGCUGGCAAGGUGCAGAGCUGGCACGUUCUCCAUUUACCUUCCAUUUGCCAGUUCAUUAUUUUGCUGACCUUGAAGGACCACUGCUCUGGCUCAGAGGGGCAGUCCCCAUUUGGUUUGCUGGAAAAUCCCCCUUGUUGUGGGUUUGGCCUUGUGGGCCACCUGGAGCGUCCAAAGCAAGAAAUUGCCUUUCCUUCCCCCCUGCAUUUCCAGGGAGGGACAUGGAGAACGAAAUCCCAAGUCUGAGUUUGUUGAAAUUUGUGUUGCAGAUGGUGUCGGUGGAAAUUCAAGCCAGAAGUUUAUCCCAAACGUUUUGAAGCCAGGCUGAUAAUUCACAGUAGGUAUUUCAGGUGCAGGACAACUUGAAUUGCAUGUGCUGAGCACAUUGUUCUCUAUUUUUUCUCUUCUUUGACUGAAUAUUUAAAAAAUGCUUCGCACACCAGGAGUGAUAACAUUGCUAGAUAAGAGAACGGAUUUUGAAAUUCAAUUGGCUUAGAGAUUCUUUCAGUGUUCCUUUGUUUCUUUCCCCUUUGCUUCUGCAGGGGAUGCAGAUGUUGGAUGAGUGAUUGCACAGGAGCCAAAGAAUCAGACAGACUGUCUGUGGAGCUGUGAUGACAAACAGUGUGUGCAGACCUGGAGGUGAGGCAGCACUUACUGGGACUGGUGUGAGCUGCGUGCCAAGGACAGAGUACUUGGAGCCAUUCUGUGAUGAACCAGCCGAGGAAACCCCCGACGUGAGGCAGGACAGUAAAACCUACGGUGUAAGCCCACAUCCUUCCUCGGUGACGUGAAGUGGUCUUUUGCCUAUUGCAGCUUAAAAACAGCAAUUGAUCAUCAGUUUGGAAAGACAUCUUUUCUUGCUUUGAUCUUCCGGGCCUUUUCUCUGAUGCCCAUACUCUGCUUUAGUGGAUUGUGCUUCAUUUGUAUUCAGCUUUGCUGCUGCCUUCCCUCUGCCCAGGCCGUGAAGUGGGGGUAAUUAUUUCUACCACGGUUACAUUUUCCCCUUGAUCUACUAAGUAAAGCGGCUCCCACCUUAUUUUCUGGGCUCUUACAAGCCCUGUGUGGCAGGGUUCACCUGAGGUGGUUAUAUUCUUAGCAGACAAGGCUUCAGUUACUUUUAUCAUUCCUCCUGUGAAUGCUGAAGUCAGACAGCACACAACUGCUGUGUGUGCCCACAGAGCCUGCACAUCUCGGCAGAGCUGUUAUCUCUGCUCUGCAUGCUCCUCCGAAUGUGAAAACCCAGACAGAUCAUGCCUAGAAAACCCCAUCUGUUCUGGCUUCAUCUCAUUUUUCUCCAUGGAUUUAUGUUUUAAUUGAGGUCUGUAACAAGACAGUGUCCUUACAGUAAAUUAAAUUCUCUAUGAACCUCGUUUAAUC
rnacentral:lncRNA from 1 species